rnacentral:rRNA from 1 species
UACGUAGGGGGCUAGCGUUGUCCGGAAUCAUUGGGCGUAAAGCGCGCGUAGGCGGCCCGGUAAGUCCGCUGUGAAAGUCAAAGGCUCAACCUUUGAAUGUCAGCGGAUACUGCCGGGCUAGAGUCCGGAAGAGGCGAGUGGAAUUCCUGGUGUAGCGGUGAAAUGCGCAGAUAUCAGGAAGAACACCCGUGGCUAAGGCGGCUCUCUAGUACGGUACUGACGCUGAGACGCGAAAGCGUGGGGAGCGAACAGG